CAGUAGCCGCGGUAACACGGAGGGAGCUAGUGUUGUUCGGAAUUACUGGGCGUAAAGAGCUCGUAGGCGGUUUGUCGCGUCUGCUGUGAAAACUGGAGGCUCAACCUCCAGCCUGCAGUGGGUACGGGCAGACUAGAGUGCGGUAGGGGAGAUUGGAAUUCCUGGUGUAGCGGUGGAAUGCGCAGAUAUCAGGAGGAACACCGAUGGCGAAGGCAGAUCUCUGGGCCGUAACUGACGCUGAGGAGCGAAAGCACGGGGAGCGAACAGGAUUAGAUACCCCUGUAGUCCCUGUCUCUUAUAC
rnacentral:rRNA from 1 species